rnacentral:ncRNA from 1 species
CGACCCCAGCUCAGGCGCGAACACCUGCUGAGUUUAAGCAUAUAAUUAAGCGGAGGAAAAGAAACUUACAAGGAUUCCCCUAGUAACGGCGAGCGAACCGGGAAGAGACCAGCAUGAAAAUCAGGUGGCAGCGUCACCUGAAUUGUAGUCUGUAGAAGCAUCCUUAGCAGCAGACAGGGCCCAAGUCCCCUGGAAGGGGGCGCUUGAGAGGGUGACAGCCCCGUCGAGCCUGGACCCUGCCGCACCACAAGGCGUUGUCGGCGAGUCGGGUUGUUUGGGAAUGCAGCCCUAAUCGGGUGGUAAAUUCCAUCCAAUGCUAAAUACGGGCGAGAGAUCGAUAGCGAACAAGUACCGCGAGGGAAAGAUGAAAAGGACUUUGAAAAGAGAGUUAAGGAGUGCUUGAAAUUGCCGGGAGGGAAGCGGAUGGAGGCCGACGAUGCGUCUCGGUCGGAUGCGGAACUGCUCAAGCUGGUCCGCCGCUCGACUCGAGGUGUGAACCAGCACAGGCCAUUGCAUCGGCACAAGCGCGUGUGGAGUACUACCUGUU